rnacentral:miRNA from 9 species
AUUGUUACCUGGUGUCAAAAA